rnacentral:rRNA from 1 species
UACGAAGGGGGCUAGCGUUGCUCGGAAUCACUGGGCGUAAAGGGUGCGUAGGCGGGUCUUUAAGUCGGGGGUGAAAGCCCAGGGCUCAACCCUGGAAUUGCCUUCGAUACUGAGAGUCUUGAGUUCGGAAGAGGUUGGUGGAACUGCGAGUGUAGAGGUGAAAUUCGUAGAUAUUCGCAAGAACACCAGUGGCGAAGGCGGCCAACUGGUCCGAUACUGACGCUGAGGCGCGAAAGCGUGGGGAGCAAACAGG